GACGAACGCUGGCGGCGUGCUUAACACAUGCAAGUCGAGCGGAGCGGCGAACGGGUGAGUAACGCGUGAGUAACUGCCCCCCUCUCUGGGAUAACAGUUGGCAACGGCUGCUAAUACCGGAUAGUGGGGGAUGACUCGCGUCCUAUGAGCUUGUUGGUGGGGUAGUGGCCUACCACUGCGACGCCGGGUAGCCGGCCUGGGAGGGGGACCGGCCUCAUUGGGCUGAGAGACGGCCCAAACUCCAACGGGAGGCAGCAGGGGGGACUAUUGCACAAUGGGGGAAACCCUGUGGCGGCAACCCGCGUUUGUGAUGUCGGCCUGCGGGUUGUGAACCGCUUUCAGCCAUUACGCGGUAUUGGCAGAAGAAGCACCGGCUAACUACGUGCCAGCAGCCGCGGUAAUAC
rnacentral:rRNA from 1 species